UCCCAAUAGGCCAUUUCAAGACUUUGACGUUUAUGACACUAAUUGAAAGCUGGAAGGCAAACAUUGAAAUUAUUUAUAUUUGUACCGCAUUGAGUUUCUUAAGUUUUUUACGUUUAAUAGUUUUUUUAUAAAAUAGUUAUUGUUGUUAUAAAAUAGUGGUUUAUAUAAUUGUUUUUAUAUAAUAGUUUAAUCGUUGUAUAAUAGUUUUUUAUAGUUGUAUUUUCCGAACAUUUUGCUGUUGACUUCUGUAGCUUCUAGCUGUAGAAGUACUUUAACGACUGUAUUUAGUUGUAAGCAGUGAAUAAAUAAACAUAAGUAAAUAUUUUCAAAAGCUUUUGGUAUAUAGAUCCAUUUUCCCUCAAGGGGUAUGAGUUAACCUACAGUAGAAAAAGUUUUUCAAGGGUGACAACAUGGACAAAUAUAGUUACUUACAUGGACAUAGUUUUUUUUGUAUUUGGAGCUUAGUAAUAGUUUUUACACAGGUCAACAAAUGAAGGCAUUCAAGAGUUUAAAUUCUUACAAAUAUUUUGAGACAACGCUCCUGCUCAUCCCUCUGAAAAUAUUCUAUGAUCAAAACAUGGCAACUUUAGUUGUAUGUUUUUGCCAAAAAAUACAACAUCGCUUAUUCAACCCAUGGAUCAGGAAAUAAUUUUAGCAACAAAAUGAAUAUAUCGCAGAAAGUUUUUAGAUGAAGUAAUUGUAUGAUGAAGAUAACACAGAAGAUACAAGAGGGCAGCAUACUUUGCAA
rnacentral:lncRNA from 1 species